UACAGAGGGUGCGAGCGUUAAUCGGAAUUACUGGGCGUAAAGGGCGUGUAGGCGGUUUGUUAAGUCAUGUGUGAAAUCCCUCGGCUCAACCGGGGAACGACGCAUGAAACUGGCAAGCUAGAGUACCAAAGAGGGGGGUGGAAUUCUCGGUGUAGCGGUGAAAUGCGUAGAUAUCGGGAGGAACACCUGUGGCGAAGGCGACCCCCUGGUUGGAUACUGACGCUGAGACGCGAAAGCGUGGGGAGCAAACAGG
rnacentral:rRNA from 1 species